rnacentral:tRNA from 1 species
GUCAGGAUGGCCGAGUGGUCUAAGGCGCCAGACUCAAGUUCUGGUCUCCAAUUGGAGGCUUGGGUUCAAAUCCUACUUCUGACA